CAAUUCUCUAUUUCUCUUUAUACAUUCAAUUUCAACAGGUUUAAUAGAUCUAUGAUCUUUGAUAAUGAACUGCAUAGGAAGAGAAAUUGGAUGAUAUGAACUGUAAAAUCAACUUAAAAUGAAGCUUACUUUAUACAAUAAAGCUCUUCCAUCCAUCCUAUUAAUUUAUUUAUUUUUUGAAUUAAACAAACCCAAAGUAUGCACUCUGGAUUUUUCAUGUCUGGCUGUUUAUUCUUUAUGUUUGUCAAUGUUUGUGUAGUUUUCUAUAAGCAUUUCCUACUCUCAUCGUUUGAUUUUUGGCAUGUCUUUCUUCCCAUUUCCCAGCAUUCCCAUUACUUUGCUCUUAUUUGCUAAACCUAGUUUGGAAAACAACAUAAAUAAUGAUACCCCUUAAAUUUUUUUACCAAUUGUAGUGGCCCUAAUGCCAUUGACUCAUGCUUAUUGUUUUCUUUUAAAUACAGUGUCAUCAUUUGAGGAAAUUAAAACUUUGUGAAACUGCGUUUGCUUCCUUUCAAAUUAAAUUAUAUUUUUUAGUCCGAAAAUUAUAAUGUGAAUCAUGUACUUUUGAUAUGUGGCAAUCUGGAUCAUAGAACUUUUUACUGCUGAUAAUGGUAAUAAUAUUAUAUUGAAAUGAACAUAAAAAAAUUGAUUACUUACUUUGGAUGUAUCCUCAAUGACUCUUUUACGGAUCAAUUAAUAAUGUGAUUAUUUUAUUGGUUGAACUGGUAUAUAUGAUAUAGGAUGAUAUUUAAUGGUUGUAGAAUAUAUCAACACUCAAACAAUUUGGAAAUCAAAAAAAUCUCUUUGAAACAUUAGUUGACAUUUGUAACUUGUUUGAGCAUUGGAGCUUUGAAAUGAGGAAUUCAAAAUAUCAUGAAUGCAGAGUAUUAUUUUUUUUUCUCUUUUUCUUUGAAGCUUUUUGGGAGAUGAUGACAUUUAUAGGUUUUUAUUGCUUGUGAAUUUCUAUAUGAUUUGUCACAUGAGGCCAAUGAAGAAGAAAGGCACCUAAUGAAGAAGAAAAGCUUAAACUGCAACCUGACAACAUCAAAUCAAUGCAUAAGUGGAAGAGAAUUUCUUGAAGGAAAAGACGAAUGCAGAAUUUAAGCUAUGAAUGCAUAUUUUCUGGACCUUUGGAGUUUUGAAAUUUUGCUCAUGAUUUUGUACCAUACGGAAGCUUACACAGAAACUUGUUGUCUUAAUCACCAGCUUCGGCAGAAGUGUGCACUGAAUUAAUAGCUUAUUCAUUGAUUUUAUCAAGCUGUUGCUAUACUUGCUGCAUCAGAAGGAAGCUUCACAACAUGUCUUUCUUCAGCAGGGAGGGUUAUACUUCUUAUCAUGUCUUUCUUCAGCAGGGAGGAUUUGUUGAUGAUUUUCUCUCACAUUUAAUGUGUUGCUGCUAUGCCCUUGUCCAAGAAUGGCGAGAAGUAGAGAUCUGAGGGGCUUGUGGAAUGUCCUAUGCAUAGAGCUAUGUUCAAGUUAAUUGUAACAGAGCAGGGCUUAAAGCCUGGAGGCAUCAUUCCUUUUUAAGGUCAAGGUUGACCUCCUAGAGAUUCUCUUUUGAAGAAACUGUUGCUAUUCUUCAUUUGAAAUUUGAGAACAAGAAUGACUUUGAUUUGGGCCUCACUGAUCUAGACUGAGGUUUGGCUUUGUGAUGUGAGCAUUGGAGGUGCAGAUCUGACAAUCUACUCACAUGAUGAACUAUGUUAAAUUGAAUUUGGAAACUUUGAGUUUUAAUUUUUGUAAAAUUUUACUUUCCAUAUACUCAUUAUGGUUUGGGAAUAGAGUGCCUUUGAUGUGUGGAUGUCAA